AGAGUCGAGACUGAAAUUUGAAAGACGCAUUUGUCAUCAUCAAAAAAAGGCUGUCUGAUCGUCGUCGGACGUUGGGAUUAAAUCGAGGGUGAAAUCAGGAUUAUGGGCCUGGAUCGUUGAAGCAGCCUCAAGUUAAUUUAAAGAAAACCCCGACGGAGAGAGACGGCGCAAGAUGGAGAAAGAUUGUGGUGGAUGAAAAGGGCAUGGUUACCUUCGUUCAUUCACUGAAAAAGGGUAAGAAAGGAGACUGGAACGAGUAUGACAAUUAAACCUUACUGUAACAAGAUGUGUUUGACCAAGUUUCAGAGCCACCAGACCAUGAUGAAAUGUAUGGCAUUCCCCGUCUCCCUUCACCCUCUCCAUCCACUCGCUGUGUACCGAUACAGUAUCUGGAUGAUGUUCACUAGAGUCCCUCGCAAUUUUCAAUUCGUCAUGUCUGUUCCUCGGGUAAAAUUGCUUGAAGGUCACCAUGACGGCCGUCUUUGGGAGCCUCCCUCCCCUUCAAACCAUUCUGGUUCAUUCCCCAGAUUCUUCCAUGGUUUUAUAACUAAUACCACCAAAUCAAAAUUCAAGAAAUCGCCGUUCCAAGCCACGAUUUGGCCGAGAAAGCCUUCUUCUUUUACACUUUCGUCCGAUGACGUGGAAUCAUGGCUGAAAAACAGGUAAUUUAUGUUGCAUCUCCACCCCACGAUGAACAAUUGUCUAAAUGUGUGGACGUGUACGGGUACCUCGAACACCCCGCUCGCAUUGAAAGGACUUUUUCCCUGAAUAGCAAAGGUUGGAAUCAGACGUCUGAAAUCUUUUUUUCCACCCAGGUUCCUAGUCUGGCAGCAGCUCUUCUUGUCUCUGUGGAAACUCUUCACUCUCGAUGUGCUAGCUACUAAAAUAUUAAGAGACAGUCUGGGGGUUGAGUAUGUACGGGUAAAUCCACGUUGUCGAUGAUGUACUGAACUGUGGCAGAGCUCUUUAGAAUUAGUGAGAUUGCCACUUCUUCACAGGCUUCACACAUGUAGCAGAAAAAAAAAUCGGUAGAAAAGAAUGGACGGGAAUUCUGGGCGGAUGAGAGGACUUCCAGUCAAUGAAAAACCAAAGUCCCAGAAAUGUUCGUUGGGCCAACACUGAGACGAUUCUGACACCCGAAAUCAGCGGAAGGAAGAGACGCAUGAGAACAUUUCAGUCUGGAUACUUGUGUUCUUUGUCAGAGUGCAGAGGAGAUACAAGAGUUCUCCAUCCAUCCAUCCAUCCAUCCAUCUUUAUUCCAGCAUGAGAGUAAAAGAGGUCGAUUCUUAAACAUGGCAUAGAGAUGACGAUCCUAUGGCCAUUUCUGGCUUUAGCGCAAGUUUUGAACAUUCUUCGAGAUCUUGAUCUAGUCACUUUGGAUUUGUGUCGUUUUUCACUUAAUGGUUGCGCGUAAUUAAGGCACAUUUGCUUGUUUUUUGUUCUUCGUCCGGUAAAA